GAUUAGUAUUGAAAAGACGUACGAUCAAUUUAUAAAAAGAUAGUCAAUAUUAAAAACAACUUUUUGUUAAAUUCAUUUCAGUGUAUUUUAAAAGUUUUAAAAAAGAAUGGUAGAUUUAGUCUUACUCACAAUUCCAUCGUCAAUAAUUUACACCAAAAAAAUCACAAGGUAAAUAACACGGGUCAAGAAAAAAAUUUUUGAUAAGAAUUUAAAAAUAUUUGCUUUUUAAGAACUUACAGUGAUUUGGCAAUGUUUGUUUUUUGCGCCCAAUUAAUGUCGGUUUUCGGGCGUUAUUAGUGUUGAAAGAGAAGCAAGGGGGCGUGUGAGCAGUGUUUCUUGCAUCACUGGUUGUGUACGGCAGUUGGUGUUUGAAUAUUACAGAGAAAUAACGUCUUUCAUAUCAUUUUUCACUGUAUCAAUCUGUGCAAAGCGGCAAAGAAGUUGUAAACGAAAUGCUGACUCGUUUUGUUAUAUUUGCGGCCAAUUUAUUGAAGUGAGAGAGAAAAAAGUAUGAUUUAAGUACAAAUUCAAAGAUUUGCAAGGCAUAUCAAGAUUUAAUCUACCAGUCAAACAUGGGCUCCACAUGUAUCAUGUAAUUCUUGCAGAUACAAUCUUGACGAUACCGGAUGUAAUGGAUUAUUCAGUUAUAAAUAUGACGCCUCAAUUAAUCCCUAACCUAUAAUUAGUACCGUUCCUUUUGCUCGCAACCUCAGAUUAUUUGAAUUCAUUUAAUUCUACGUUCUAUUUAAUUCGAACCAUAUGAAUUGAUUGCCGAUACAGACCCACCCUUGUUUUACGGAAAUAAUUCAGUUCAGUUUAUUUGAUAGACGUUUGAAAAGUUUGAGGUUAGAUUAACUUUUUUGUUAGUAGCUAGCAGUUAUAACCGGGAGUUGAAGAUUUGUGAGUAAAUUUUAUUUCAUUUCUGUAUUUACAAUGUAUCAUUCCAUUUCACCCACCAAGUGAGCUGAGAUCAGCUCAAUUUGAAAUAAAUCAGAUCAUUUGCAAUCGGAAGGGUAUGUUUAUUAGGGUGGGUCAAAAAAAAUCAACUGACACCUUAAAAAAUUCGCACCAAAUAUGAGCUAUUCAUUUUAAUUUGAAGAUCCGCAUUAGUUUUUUAUUUUUUUCUCAAUCGAAUAGAAAAAAAUUCAUACCUCAUCAUUAACCUUUUUGUUGCUAGUAUUUAACAAUAAUUUCUGAAAUCCAUUAGUGUGUUUAUGGAACUAUUUUAUUCAGUUGCAACAGUCAAAUGUUGAAAAUCUUGAGUUAGACUUUAGGGUUGCUCCUUCCCAUUACAGUUUUUCAUUUUUUUCUCAGACGAAUAGAAAAAAAUUAAUACCUCAUCAUUAUCCUUUUCACUGCUAGUAUUACUUUAUCAAUAAUUUCUGAAAUCCAUUAGAUUGUGUUUAUGGGACUAUUUUAUUCAGUGGCAAUAGUCAAAUAUUGAAAAUCUACUAUAGGUAUGGUCUGCAAGCACAGAAUAUUCGUCUAGACCUAGGAAAAGCCGGGAAAGCCGCAGUAGCCCGACUAUAGAAGGGCGUCGCCAUGAAAAGGUUAAUGGAUUGUACAGAAAAAUGUUUUCGAAGUAUUUUGUAGAAAAUUUGAUGAUUGCAAAUGUAGCCCCUAAAUAAAAAAGAAGCCUCUUACACUCAACAAAA